AACAUCGCGCACCUGCGGGAACCUGCGGAGGGAUCAUUACAGAGUUGCAAAACUCCCUAAACCAUUGUGAACGUUACCUAAACCGUUGCUUCGGCGGGCGGCCCGGGUCCUUCCCGGCGCCCCUCGGCCCUCGCGGGCGCCCGCCGGAGGUAAACCAAACUAUUGCAUUGUAUGGCCUCUCUGAGUCUUCCGUACUGAAUAAGUCAAAACUUUUAACAACGGAUCUCAGAUCGGAAGAGC
rnacentral:misc_RNA from 1 species